rnacentral:lncRNA from 1 species
CUGAGCAUGUCCUGCCCUCACUCCCUUUCUUCUGAUGCGCUUUGUCCCAGGUUUAAUCCACCAGACAGGGAUUGCAAGAGGAACUCUCUGGAUGGUCACACAACAAAUGCAUUUCAGAAAUGGGGGAGCGGAGAUGUUUGCAUUGACAUCAGCCUCCAACAUUCUGCAAGGCCAAAGACUCCAAACCUAUCCAAGUUAAUGUGGUUACUGUGGGUGACAAGAAUAAUUUACCAACAAAAAUUGGCAUAUCAAAGACUAGUGAUAGCAUUUCAAAAAUCUUCAAGGAGGCAAAUCUUGCCCUGACAUUUGAUGGGAGCUAAACAGAGAUUUAGAAGCAGCCUGUGGUCCUCUUGGCAUUUGGCUGUACCUGUGGAAAGAACAGCGCAGGCCUUUUAGAGGACUCAUUAAAGCUUAAUCCAAGGAAGGUUCUCACUGAACAGAAUGUGAGGAUGUUUCUCUGUUCCUCUAGGGCUGCUCAUCGUGCCCUGAAAGCCUUGGCUCUGAAGCAGGGCUGUCCUCAGCACUGGGGUUCAGCUGAAUUUCAAUUUCAUCCAUGCAAUUCCUCAGUUCUGUUUUCCCCACCUUUGCUUUUCAAUAGAGGAGAAAUUGCUGGGAAGUGCUCGGCCAAAUUCGGGCUGCGUGUUUGCUUUGUUCUCCCCUGCGCUGUAAUUGCCCACACUCUGGUUUUGUUCAGGCUUUCCAUUAUUCAUUAAUACCUUGUUUACUU